UAUUGUGCGGUGGCAGGAAAGUCUGGUCAACCACAAAUGUGUGCUGUUUCAGUUAAUAUUUGCCCUAACUGCUUUUGAAACACUCCUCUGAUGUGCUGAAGAUGAAAGUACAAUCUCUGUGUUUAUCUGGCAGUUUUGCUCAGGGACUGAUGAAUGCACUCAUCAUUACCAGCAGUAUAUUGCUUCAUACUUAAACAUCAACACACGCUGUUCCAUAAACAGCCCCCGUAUCAUCAUGUGAAAUGAUCCUGUUGCUGGAAUCGUUCUGGAAUAAGCAUUCUGGCAUCGAUGGGCAUGGAAGAGCUCUCACUGGUGGGCCAGAACCAGAAUAGCUACUGGAAGGCUUCAGUCCUGGGCCGUUUGUCUUCUCAUUUUAUACUCAAACCAUAAGGCCAGCGAGAGACCCUGGGGCAAGAAAAGAAAAGAAGAGAAGAGAAGAGACGAGAAAAGACGAGACGAGACGAGACGAGACAAGAAAAGAAAAAAGAAAAGAAAAGCAGACAGUGCUCGCGAAGUAACAUGUGAAGUUGUCCUCUGGUCUCCAAACACGUAUGUGCAUGCAACCUAUACACACACCCCCCACCCCCACCACCCGACACACUCCAGCUGCCCCAGGAACUAUGGAGAAGAGAAACAGCUGAACUUGGGAGUGCAUCCUUGGUUUGGAUCCCCGCUCCAUCACAUGGCCCCUCUGAGCCUCUACCGGAGGCCGCUGGUGAGCUUUUCUGACCUGCAACUAGCACCCGCUCCUUCUGAAGCCCCGAGAAAGGUUCUAGUCUCUUAGAGUCACAUUUAAAAAAAAAUCCUUUCUAUGAACCACCACCCCCAAGUUAUAUCAGCUUCGGAUCCCAUUGGACCCCCGCGCCCCCACAGAACUGUUUCGGGAGUUAAGCAGGUUCUUUCUGUAAAGUACCCGGUACACAGUAGAUGCUCACUUAAUGUUACUUUUCUCCAGAAUGGCCCGCAAAAAGGAUAAAAAGACAGACAGGAACUCAGGUUGUCAUGUUUAUUGGAUGCCCCUUUAAUGUCCUGUGCUGUGGUAUUCACUAGCCCAGCCUCACUCUAAGAGUGGGGUCCAGGGAUGAGCAGGGAGGGGUGCUACAGACUCUGGCCCUUCGGGGAGGCAUCCUUGCUGCC